UUUCAUCAAAGGGUAAAUGAGCAGCGUCCACAGCAUUUUUUAUCAAUGUCUUUUCAUCAAUACUGUCCGGGUGUUGAAUUUGCAAUGGUGAUGAUGGAGGGGGCACAGAAGUUAAUAAGUAAAGGUUUUGUGUGGCUUUCUUAAAUUGACAUCUCUCUUUUUGGGGACUUACAUUUGGCACACUUGGAUUUCCUGGUUGAAAGGGGUACUCUUUUGAAGGAUCCAGCUUGAAGGAGUAUUUUUGAUCAAUGACAUUGAGUUGCAGCCCACUGAAGAAAAUAAAGUCCAACCCCAAGACUACAGCAUAGGCUAGAGCUUGGGAUGAAAGUACAGCAGUAGAUAAAGAGGACCACGGCACCACGGUUGCAGCUGGUCGGGGGAUGUAAGCUGCCUCAUGAGAUUCUCAUGGAUGAGUGUGUAGCUUGCACCAGUGUCCACAAUGACUUUACCUGACCAGGCAUCGAUACAAAGCGGAACAACUAGUUGUUGAGCAACAGAGUUGUUGGACGGAUGACCAACUGACUUGGGGUGAUAAGGUUGUUUGCCGCUGGUGGAAUACUGUGGACCAGACGUCUGAGGUGACUGGGGAGAGGUAUAGUGUGGACAUUUUCCUGGUGUUUGCUGUCCUCUACAUCUCCAGCACUGAACUGGGAUUUUCUCAGUAGUUGAUGUCCUAAUUUUACCAGAUCUUCCA